GCCUCCGUGGCGCAAUCGGCUAGCGCGUUCGGCUGUUAACCGAAAGGUAGGGGGUUCGAGCCCACCUGGGAGCG
rnacentral:tRNA from 1 species